rnacentral:tRNA from 1 species
GGAGUUGUGGCUCAGUGGUAGAGCGCUCGCCUAGAGCGUGUGAGGACCUGGGUUCGAUCCUCAGCACCA